UACGGGGGGAGCAAGCGUUGUUCGGAUUUACUGGGCGUAAAGGGCGCGUAGGCGGCCACCGCAAGUCGACUGUGAAAUCUCUGGGCUUAACCCAGAAAGGUCAGCCGAUACUGCGGGGCUAGAGUGCAGAAGGGGCAACUGGAAUUCUCGGUGUAGCGGUGAAAUGCGUAGAUAUCGAGAGGAACACCUGCGGCGAAGGCGGGUUGCUGGGCUGACACUGACGCUGAAGCGCGAAAGCGUGGGGAGCAAACAGG
rnacentral:rRNA from 1 species